rnacentral:rRNA from 1 species
GACGGAGGAUGCAAGUGUUAUCCGGAAUCACUGGGCGUAAAGCGUCUGUAGGUGGCUUUUUAAGUCCGCCGUCAAAUCCCAGGGCUCAACCUGGGAAAUGGCAGUGGAUACCUGGCAAGCUAGGAGUGUGUCAGAGGAUGGUGGAAUUCCUGGUGUAGCGGUGAAAUGCGUAGAUAUCAGGAGGAACACCGGUGGUGUAGACGGCUCUCUGGACCGUAACUGACGCUGAGACACGAAAGCGUGGGUAGCAAACAGG